UACGAAGGGGGCUAGCGUUGUUCGGAAUUACUGGGCGUAAAGGGCGCGUAGGCGGCGUGUCAAGUCAGGCGUGAAAGCCCCGGGCUCAACCUGGGAACCGCGCUUGAGACUGGCAUGCUCGAGUUCGGGAGAGGAUGGUGGAAUUCCCAGUGUAGAGGUGAAAUUCGUAGAUAUUGGGAAGAACACCGAUGGCGAAGGCAGUUCUCUGGGACGGUACUGACGCUGAAGACGCGAAAGCGUGGGGGAGCGAAACAGG
rnacentral:rRNA from 1 species